rnacentral:rRNA from 1 species
GACGAACCGUGCAAACGUUGUUCGGAUUCACUGGGCUUAAAGGGCGCGUAGGCGGACGGUCAAGUCGGGGGUGAAAUCUUUCAGCUUAACUGGAAAAGUGCCUCCGAUACUGAUCGUCUCGAGGGAGGUAGGGGCAUGUGGAAUUUCCGGUGGAGCGGUGAAAUGCGUAGAGAUCGGAAAGAACACCAACGGCGAAAGCACUCUGCUGGGCCGACACUGACACUGAGAGACGAAAGCUAGGGGAGCGAAUGGG